rnacentral:lncRNA from 1 species
GCCGACAAGGACUCGUUGGGGCGGCGGGUUGGACUGCCUCCUGCGAUGCGACGCCCGGACGUGGGUCGGCGCGGCCGCCGCGGUUAUCCGGGGCCCGCUGAAGGAUUCCACGGUGCUACUGAGGCUGCUGCACGUCGGCCGCUGCGGUGGAGGGGGAGACGGCGGCGGGUGACGCCCUCCAAAGGCGAAUCGCGCGUCGGAGGGGGAGCGGAAGGGAGGGACGGGAGGUGGAGGAGAGGAGGGGGAGCAGGGAAAGUUGGUCUUAGCCUUAGGCCCCCGGAAGGCGAUGGCGGCGGCGUCGUAGGCCCGGGCGGCGUCCUCGGCGGAGUCGAAGGUGCCGAGCCACACCCGGGCUUUCUUCCAGGGAUCCCGGAUCUCGGCCGCAAACCGCCCCCACGGCCGCUUCCGGACGCCGCGGUACCGAACCUCCACCGUC